UAGAUUAGAGUUUGAUCAUGGCUCAGGACGAACGCUGGCGGCGUGCCUAAUACAUGCAAGUCGAGCGGACAGAUGGGAGCUUGCUCCCUGAAGUCAGCGGCGGACGGGUGAGUAACACGUGGGCAACCUGCCUGUAAGACUGGGAUAACUUCGGGAAACCGGAGCUAAUACCGGAUAACACCGAGGACCUCAUGGUCCUUGGUUGAAAGAUGGCUUCGGCUAUCACUUACAGAUGGGCCCGCGGCGCAUUAGCUAGUUGGUGAGGUAACGGCUCACCAAGGCGACGAUGCGUAGCCGACCUGAGAGGGUGAUCGGCCACACUGGGACUGAGACACGGCCCAGACUCCUACGGGAGGCAGCAGUAGGGAAUCUUCCGCAAUGGACGAAAGUCUGACGGAGCAACGCCGCGUGAGCGAUGAGGGCCUUCGGGUCGUAAAGCUCUGUUGUUAGGGAAGAACAAGUACCGUUCGAAUAGGGCGGUACCUUGACGGUACCUAACCAGAAAGCCACGGCUAACUACGUGCCAGCAGCCGCGGUAAUACGUAGGUGGCAAGCGUUGUCCGGAAUUAUUGGGCGUAAAGCGCGCGCAGGCGGUUCCUUAAGUCUGAUGUGAAAGCCCACGGCUCAACCGUGGAGGGUCAUUGGAAACUGGGGAACUUGAGUGCAGAAGAGGAAAGCGGAAUUCCACGUGUAGCGGUGAAAUGCGUAGAGAUGUGGAGGAACACCAGUGGCGAAGGCGGCUUUCUGGUCUGUAACUGACGCUGAGGCGCGAAAGCGUGGGGAGCAAACAGGAUUAGAU
rnacentral:rRNA from 1 species